UACGGGGGGGGCAAGCGUUGUUCGGAAUUAUUGGGCGUAAAGGGCGCGUAGGCGGUGCGGCAAGUCUCCUGUGAAAUCUCCGGGCUCAACUCGGAGUCUGCAGGAGAAACUGCCGUGCUUGAGUGUGGGAGAGGUGAGUGGAAUUCCCGGUGUAGCGGUGAAAUGCGUAGAUAUCGGGAGGAACAUCUGUGGCGAAGGCGGCCAUCUGGACCAGCACUGACACUGGGGCACGAAAGCGUGGGGAGCAAACAGG
rnacentral:rRNA from 1 species